rnacentral:misc_RNA from 1 species
GAUGAAGAACGUAGUGAAAUGCGAUAAGUAGUGUGAAUUGCAGAAUUCAGUGAAUCAUCGAAUCUUUGAACGCACAUUGCGCCUCCCGGUAUUCCGGGAGGCAUGCCUGUUCGAGCGUCAUUAAAAUCACUCAAGCUUAGGUUUACCUAUUGCUUGGUCUUGGAGAUGGAAGCCAAUUUAUUGGAAUCCUCUUCGAAAUUCAAUGGCGAAGACCCUUGCUCUCCCAAGUGUAGUAAUAACUUAUGUCACUGAAGGAAGCGAGAAAUCUUCUGCCGUAACCCCCAUAUUUUCUAUGAUUGACCUCGGAUCAGGUAGGGAUACCCGCUGAACUUAAGCAUAUCAAUAAGCGGAGGA